UGAGAGAUAAAAACACGGUCCGGCUGGUAGUCCGGGCGCAGAGCAUCCGCUCUGUCAGUAACCUGCCUCCUUUGGUUGUCCAUUCUCUUUUUU
rnacentral:ncRNA from 1 species